GACCUUGCGCUCUUUGAGCGGCCGAUGUCAGAUUAGCUAGUUGGUGAGGUAACGGCUUACCAAGGCGACGAUCUGUAGCGGGUCUGAGAGGAUGAUCCGCCACACUGGAACUGAGACACGGUCCAGACUCCUACGGGAGGCAGCAGUGGGGAAUUUUGGACAAUGGGGCAACCCUGAUCCAGCCAUGCCGCGUGAGUGAAGAAGGCCUUCGGGUUGUAAAGCUCUUUCGGCCGGGAAGAAAUCGCAUGGGUUAAUACCCUGUGUGGAUGACGGUACCGGCAUAAGAAGCACCGGCUAACUACGUG
rnacentral:rRNA from 1 species